rnacentral:ncRNA from 33 species
UUAGAUUUAAUUUUACUUAGUGCUGGGGAAGCAGGUGUGAUUCCUGCAGUGUGCCGCAACGGUGAAACUCCGAAUACCGACUAAGUGUAGCUCCCCGUGC